GCCGGGGUGGUGAAAUUGGCAGACGCGCUGGACUCAAAAUCCAGUGGGAGUUUAUCCCGUGCGGGUUCGAGUCCCGCCCCCGGCA
rnacentral:tRNA from 1 species